ACGCAUGCAUGAAGCACAAGAAAUUAUGUGGACUCCAUUUUCCACGAGUUUUCCCUGCACCAGAAUCUAUUGAUUGGUGAAUUGUUUGCAGACGCUAGGAGCUGCAUCAGUAUUCACUUGAGAAGAGAGGAGCCAAGAGUAUCUUGAUGCCUAUUAUUUGUUGGUUGGUGAUCAUCGAUUCCUCCCACCGCCUUCCGCCUCUUGUUGCAUUGAUUUUUAAUACAUUUUCCAUUUUAAUUUUAUUUACUUAUUCUCGUCUUGCCAUUUAUGUUCAUUAUCUCACUUGAGAUUCUACUCAUCCAUCUCCUGUUGUGCCUUGCACUUCCUUUUUCAGUUUGUUGCAUUAUUCGUUUCUUCAGUUGGCAUUUCUUUCGUUUUCCUCCAAUCUCCCUUUUGUGUCCCUUUUCCAUUUGUAGUUUUCUCAUAAAUAAUUUCCUUUUUGGUUGCACUAUGAUCCGCAUUACCAUGGUAGUAGUAUGGUCAAAAGAGAAAUCACCGAACAAUCAAUGGGAUGGACACUGAUGGAAGGAGUGCAGGAUAUAGACCCUCUCUCCCAUUAUCAACACCCAAACCAUAAACGGGAAGGUGAUGACCCCUACCAUAAUCAUAUGGAUCAUGGUAUGUUUUUCCUUGUUUAUCACCAUCUUUGAGAAUUGCUUUAUCAUGACUCUUUUUAAUUCCUUUUUCCUCCAAGAUUUGAAUUGUUUAUACCAUGCACGUACAACAAGAAGCAUAAAACAGAUAUGCAUGCUUACAUGUGUGUCUACAGGCUUGUCUAUGUGUGUGCACGCGCACAUAG
rnacentral:lncRNA from 1 species